rnacentral:rRNA from 1 species
AGAGUUUGAUCCUGGCUCAGAAUGAACGCUGGCGGCAUGGCUAAGACAUGCAAGUCGAACGGACCAUUUAAUUUAUUAGAUGGUUAGUGGCGAAAGGGUGAGGAAUAAAUAGGUAACGUAUCUUUGGCUUCAGAAUAGCGUCUAGGUGCUUGCACCUUUCCGAAAGGGGCAUUAAUACUGAAUAAUAUCACUUCCUUAACUAGUUGUGAUCAAAGAUUUAUCGGCUUUUGAGCGGCCUAUUUCCUAUCAGCUAGUUGGUGAGGUAAUGGCUCACCAAGGCGACGACGGGUAGCGGGACUGAGAGGUUGGCCCGCCACAUCGGGACUGAGACACUGCCCGGACCUCCACGGAGGGCUGCAGUAACGAAUAUUGGGCAAUGGGCGAAAGCCUGACCCAGCAAUGCCGCGUGCAGGAUGAAGCCUUUCGGGGUGUAAACUGCUUUCAGGGAUUAGAAAGCUACGGUUGAUCAAUCCCAGAAGAAGUCACGGCUAACUUCGUGCCAGCAGCCGCGGUAAUACGAAGGUGGCAAGCGUUAUUCGAAAUCACUGGGCUUAAAGGGCGCGUAGGCGGACAUGACAGUACUUUGUGAAAUCCCUCGGCUUAACCGAGGAAUUGCGAAGUAUACUACAUGUCUUGAGGCAAGUAGGGGUGUGUGGAACUCUUGGUGGAGCGGUGGAAUGCGUAGAUAUCAAGAGGAACGCCGAAGGUGAAGACAGCACACUGGGCUUGUACUGACGCUGAGGCGCGAGAGCGUGGGGAGCAAACAGGAUUAGAUACCCUGGUAGUCCACGCCGUAAACGAUGUCUACUAGGUUGCGGGGGUUCUGACACCGUCGCAGUCGUAGCAAAAGUAUUAAGUAGACCGCCUGGGGAGUACGGUCGCAAGGCUAAAACUCAAAGGAAUUGACGGGGGCUCACAAGCGGUGGAGCAUGUGGAUUAAUUCGAAACAACGCGCAGAACCUUACCUGGGUUUGACAUGUUUGGAUGCUUGCCGGGAAACCGGUUAAGCUGCCUUAGGGUGAAACUUACACAGGUGCUGCAUGGCUGUCGUCAGCUCGUGUCGUGAGAUGUCGGGUUAAGUCCUUUAACGAGCGAAACCCUUACCGUUAGUUGCCAGCGCGUCAUGGCGGGGACUCUAGCGGGACUGCCGGUGUCAAACCGGAGGAAGGCGGGGAUGACGUCAAGUCCUCAUGGCCUUUAUGCCCAGGGCUUCACACGUGCUACAAUGGCAGGUACAGAGCGACGCGAUACCGCGAGGUGGAGCAAAUCGCAAAAAAACCUGCCCCAGUUCAGAUUGCAGGCUGUCAACUCGCCUGCAUGAAGGUGGAAUCGCUAGUAAUCGCGUAUCAGCGAUGACGCGGUGAAUGUGUUCCUGAGCCUUGUACACACCGCCCGUCAAGUGAUGGGAGUUGGGAGUACCCGAAGUCGGAUUGCUAACUUGUAAAAGAGGCGUCUGCCGACGGUAAGCUCGAUGACUGGCACUAAGUCGUAACAAGGUA